UAAUUUGACUGACAGAAAUCAGCUUAUGAAAAAGGGAAGGCAUAAGUAAGGUAUUAGAUAGUGAUAAAGUUGGUGAUAACAUUAUAGUGCCAGCCCCUUUUACCGAGGAGAUACCCCCAUUGGCAUUGGCAAUACUAGCCCCUUUUACCAAAGAGAUACCCCCAUAUGGUUAGUUGCUCCGGAAUCAAGAAUCCAUGUAUUUCUAUCAUUACUGUUAUUAAACCCGAGUAGGGCCAUACCUGAUGUGGAGGUCGGAGGUUUGGUCGAAAUGAGGGACAAGUGCGGUUCUGCUACAGCAACUUCAACCAUUACCCGUACUAGCAUCAUUAGCGGCUCCAUCACGCCUCUUCUUGGCUUGAAGAUCAUGCCACCAAUAUGGAUAUUCAUUUAAUUUAAAGCACGUGUAAUGGGUGUGAUUAGUGUUCCCACAAUGAGAGCAUUUGGUCCCCUCGGUAUUGAUCUUUCGCUUUUGAUGAGAAUUAGCAUUUGACCUGUUGCUAUUCAAAGACAAAGGCCCAACAUUGGAGGCUGAACUUGAGCCAUUCUUGAAGCUUUUGGAUGCCAAGACUGCUCCAUAUAUGUCCUCCAUGCCUCCAGAUUCUAUCAUCAUAGCCUGUCGAUCUGCUUCUCUUCGGACAUGGGCAUAUGCUUGCUCUACUGUAGGAAAAGGUUUCAUUUGUAAUACUCCACUCUGAAUAUGGUCCAGGCGGUCAUCAAGUCCGUCUAAGAAAACAUUCACCCUGUCUUCUUGAAGGAUGGAAUUAUAGUGCUUUACAUCCAUUGGGCACUCCAUGGGAUUUGGACGACAAAAAUCAAUUUCUCGCCAAAGGCCCUGCAAUUCAUUAUAAAAAUUUUCCAACAAACCACCAGCUUGCUUAAGCCUGCUUACCCACCUGCGGAGUUCAUAGACUUGGGAGGUAUCGCUUCCAUCAAAGAAUGUUGUGGCAAUAGCAUCCCACACUUGCUUGGUGGUUGGGUACCAAAUGAAGGUACUGAUAAGAGAGGCUCCAUAGAGUUAACCGUUGAUGAUUGCGUUAUCAGUUCGUGAUCGCAUGAAGGUGGGAUCCGUCUCAGAUGGCUGAGGAAGGUCACCAUUAAUAUAUCCCAUUUUAUCCUUGGCGAUAUACAUCUCAACCACUUGGGACCAUAGGGUAUAAUUGGAUCCAUCCAGUUUAAUGCCAAUAGGUGCAGCACCCAUGUCUGCUAUUGGUGUCGAGGCUGAAACUUUAUUCAAGGCCUCAGUCAUCUUCAUGGUUAGUUCUGUCAAGGUAGUAGCUGGUGGAGAUUCACCAUAAAUUUCAUGCUUUAUUUACCAUGUAUAGCUUAAAGUUUCUCUAUGCAGUAACAUGGAGUUUGUUGUUUCUACUCAUUUUUAUGCUCAAUUAGUGUUUCUCUGUAUCAAACUUUAAUGUGGUAUCGGAGCAUUUCCAUUAUUGCUACCUUCUCUAUCUUCUUCUAGCUUCUGCAAACAUCGGAAAUCGUGUUUGACUCUGCAUCCUCCAUGCCUUCACAAUUGAUCAAUGAUAUCAAAUCCCCGUAUUUCUUAACCCCCGACGACAAUCGUGGGGCUGUAUUGAUGCCUGAUCUCCUUACAAAGAAAAUAUGCUACCUGGAAAUGCUCGAUAUGUAUGGAUCUCAAUAGCAAAAACAAACUUCGCUUUGUGCACGACCCUCCAUCGAUAAUAUACAUCAACACAGCCCCUAAAUUUUUUCUAAAAUUUCUACUUCAUUACUGCAAAUGUCCUCCGUUGUUUUCUUCCAAAUAUGGUGAGCAAUCCCAAUUAUGUACCAUGAGGAUUAGCAUUAUGUGUUUCAUGUUCCUUUUUUUUUUUUUUCCUGAGUUCGCCACAUUAGGACUGAAAGGAACUAUGGCUUCUCAAAGUUUUGCUGCUAGUAGAAAGACUCUAUAUCUGAAGCCCUUGCUAAGAUAAUUGAUUCAUCGACAAAUAAGAGGCAAUUAACUCGUAGUCUUGCUCGAGUGCAAUGUGCAUUGCAUGCCUAUCAAAU
rnacentral:lncRNA from 1 species